AGAUUAAGUUAUUAAGGGCGCACGGUGGAUGCCUUGGCACUAGAAGCCGACGAAGGACGUUACUAACGACGAUAUGCUUUGGGUAGCUGUAAGUAAGCGUUGAUCCAGAGAUUUCCGAAUGGGGGAACCCAGCACGAGUUAUGUCGUGUUAUCGACAAGUGAAUUCAUAGCUUGUCAGAAGGCAGACCCGGAGAACUGAAACAUCUUAGUACCCGGAGGAAGAGAAAGAAAAAUCGAUUCCCUGAGUAGCGGCGAGCGAAACGGGAAGAGCCCAAACCAAUAAGCUUGCUUAUUGGGGUUGUAGGACACUCUAUACGGAGUUACAAAGGAAUAUAUUAGACGAAUCAUCUGGAAAGUUGAAUCAAAGAAGGUAAUAAUCCUGUAGUUGAAAAUAUAUUCUCUCUUGAGUGGAUCCUGAGUACGACGGAGCACGUGAAAUUCCGUCGGAAUCUGGGAGGACCAUCUCCUAAGGCUAAAUACUCUCUAGUGACCGAUAGUGAACCAGUACCGUGAGGGAAAGGUGAAAAGUACCCCGGAAGGGGAGUGAAAGAGAACUUGAAACCGUGUGCUUACAAGUAGUCAGAGCCCGUUAAUGGGUGAUGGCGUGCCUUUUGUAGAAUGAACCGGCGAGUUACGAUCUGAUGCAAGGUUAAGCAGGAGAUGUGGAGCCGUAGCGAAAGCGAGUCUGAAUAGGGCGUUGAGUAUUUGGUCGUAGACCCGAAACCAGGUGAUCUACCCAUGGUCAGGUUGAAGUUCAGGUAACACUGAAUGGAGGACCGAACCGACUUACGUUGAAAAGUGAGCGGAUGAACUGUGGGUAGCGGAGAAAUUCCAAUCGAACUUGGAGAUAGCUGGUUCUCUCCGAAAUAGCUUUAGGGCUAGCCUCAAGUGAUGAUUAUUGGAGGUAGAGCACUGUUUGGACGAGGGGCCCCUCUCGGGUUACCGAAUUCAGACAAACUCCGAAUGCCAAUUAAUUUAACUUGGGAGUCAGAACAUGGGUGAUAAGGUCCGUGUUCGAAAGGGAAACAGCCCAGACCACCAGCUAAGGUCCCAAAAUAUAUGUUAAGUGGAAAAGGAUGUGGCGUUGCCCAGACAACUAGGAUGUUGGCUUAGAAGCAGCCAUCAUUUAAAGAGUGCGUAAUAGCUCACUAGUCGAGUGACACUGCGCCGAAAAUGUACCGGGGCUAAACAUAUUACCGAAGCUGUGGAUUGUCCGUAGGACAAUGGUAGGAGAGCGUUCUAAGGGCGUUGAAGCAUGAUCGCAAGGACAUGUGGAGCGCUUAGAAGUGAGAAUGCCGGUGUGAGUAGCGAAAGACGGGUGAGAAUCCCGUCCACCGAUUGACUAAGGUUUCCAGAGGAAGGCUCGUCCGCUCUGGGUUAGUCGGGUCCUAAGCUGAGGCCGACAGGCGUAGGCGAUGGAUAACAGGUUGAUAUUCCUGUACCACCUAGCAUCGUUUUAAUCGAUGGGGGG
rnacentral:rRNA from 5 species